GCAUGAAGCCGGAAUUGCUAGUAAUGGCAGGUCAGCAUACUGCCGUGAAUGCGUUCCCGGGCCUUGUACACACCGCCCGUCACACCAUGAGAGUUGGAAAUACCCGAAGCCUGUGAGCUAACUUAAAGAGGCAGCAGUCGAAGGUAGAGCCAAUGAUUGGGGUGAAGUCGUAACAAGGUAUC
rnacentral:rRNA from 1 species